rnacentral:sRNA from 1 species
UGUGUGUACAUAUUUUACCUAUGAAGCAGCCCCUGGAAGAGACCAAGAUCUCAGCUUUACUCUGAUGUCAGCUGUUGCUUCCUCUAUGAUAUUAGUGUGAAUGUAUGUUCUUACAUCAUUAUGUUCAUGUAUGAAACAUUUAAUAUUUAUUUAUAACAUUAUCUGUGUCAGCGUUUGAUAGGCGAUACAGUUGGAUUAUUUUAUGAACUUUGAUCAAUGUUUUCUUGUAUAAUGCAAUACUAGCUGAAAAUGUAUUGUAACGAGCAAAUAUUGUGUUCUUGUUAAUUUCAUUUUGUUUGAAUGUUGUAAAUUCUCCUGACUUUGGUUAUUGUAUGAUGGUUGUAUUAUUUUCUUUUCCGUUGAAAUGUUAGACAGUAACUCAGACACUGUAGGAUAUCUGGAUGACUGAUGUGACACAACAUGUAUGUUUGUUCAAGGGUAAAUGAGUGUUAUGAAAUGUUUUGUGAAUCUAUUAAUAUUGUUUUUUUUUUAAUAUUUAAGAAAUAAAUUAUCUGUAACGU